rnacentral:rRNA from 1 species
GGGGAUAACUAUUGGAAACGAUAGCUAAUACCGCAUAACAGUCGACAUUGCAUGAUGUUGAUUUGAAAGGGGCAAUUGCUCCACUACCAGAUGGACCUGCGUUGUAUUAGCUAGUUGGUGAGGUAACGGCUCACCAAGGCGACGAUACAUAGCCGACCUGAGAGGGUGAUCGGCCACACUGGGACUGAGACACGGCCCAG